rnacentral:rRNA from 1 species
UACAUAGGGUGCGAGCGUUAAUCGGAAUUACUGGGCGUAAAGCGUGCGUAGGUGGUUUAAUAAGUCAGAUGUGAAAUCCCCGGGCUCAACCUGGGAACUGCAUUUGAAACUAUUAGGCUAGAGUACGGUAGAGGGAGGUAGAAUUCCACGUGUAGCAGUGAAAUGCGUAGAUAUGUGGAGGAAUACCGAUGGCGAAGGCAGCCCCCUGGGUCGAUACUGACGCUCAGGCGCGAAAGCGUGGGGAGCAAACAGG